UACAACUUUCAGCAACGGAUCUCUUGGCUCUCGCAUCGAUGAAGAACGCAGCGAAAUGCGAUAAGUAAUGUGAAUUGCAGAAUUCAGUGAAUCAUCGAAUCUUUGAACGCACCUUGCGCUCCUUGGUAUUCCGAGGAGCAUGCCUGUUUGAGUGUCAUUAACUUCUCAA
rnacentral:rRNA from 2 species